rnacentral:tRNA from 1 species
AGUCCUGAGGUGAUUUUCACAUUGAAUUGCAAAUUCAAAGGAGCAGCUUCAACCCUGCCGGGACUU